rnacentral:rRNA from 1 species
AUUGAACUCUGGCGGCAGGCCUAACACCUGCAAGUCGAGAUAGCGGCGGACGGGUGAGGAAUGUAUGGGGACUGCCCGCUAGAGGAGGAUAACUACUGGAAACGGUAGCUAAUAACGCAUACUAUCGGAUAACCCAUAUGGGAUUAGCUAGUUGGUGAGGUAAUGGCUCACCAAGGCGACGAUCCCUAGCUGGUCUGAGAGGAUGAUCAGCCACACUGGGACUGAGACACGGCCCAGACUCCUACGGAGGCAGCAGUGGGGAAUAUUGCACAAUGGGCGCAAGCAUGAUGCAGCCAUGCCGCGUGUAUGAAGAAGGCCCUAGUGUUGUAAAGUACUUUCAGUCGGGAGGCGUUACCGACAGAAGAAGCACCGGCUAAGUCCGUGCCAGCCGCCGCGGUAAUAC